rnacentral:rRNA from 1 species
UACGAAGGGGGCUAGCGUUGUUCGGAAUCACUGGGCGUAAAGGGCGCGUAGGCGGCUUUAUAAGUCGGGGGUGAAAGCCUGUGGCUCAACCAUAGAAUUGCCUUCGAUACUGGAGAGCUUGAGACCGGAAGAGGUAAGUGGAACUGCGAGUGUAGAGGUGAAAUUCGUAGAUAUUCGCAAGAACACCAGUGGCGAAGGCGGCUUACUGGUCCGGUUCUGACGCUGAGGCGCGAAAGCGUGGGGAGCAAACAGG